GGCUUAGAGUUUGAUCAUGGCUCAGGAUGAACGCUGGCGGCGUGCCUAACACAUGCAAGUCGAACGAAGCGCUUUACUUUGAUUUCUUCGGAUUGAAAAGUUUUGUGACUGAGUGGCGGACGGGUGAGUAACGCGUGGGUAACCUGCCUCACACAGGGGGAUAACAGUUAGAAAUGACUGCUAAUACCGCAUAAGACCACAGCACCGCAUGGUGCAGGGGUAAAAACUCCGGUGGUGUGAGAUGGACCCGCGUCUGAUUAGCUAGUUGGUAAGGUAAGGGCUUACCAAGGCGACGAUCAGUAGCCGACCUGAGAGGGUGACCGGCCACAUUGGGACUGAGACGCGGCCCAAACUCCUACGGGAGGCAGCAGUGGGGAAUAUUGCACAAUGGGGGAAACCCUGAUGCAGCGACGCCGCGUGAGUGAAGAAGUAUUUCGGUAUGUAAAGCUCUAUCAGCAGGGAAGAAACUGACGGUACCUGACUAAGAAGCACCGGCUAAAUACGUGCCAGCAGCCGCGGUAAUACGUAUGGUGCAAGCGUUAUCCGGAUUUACUGGGUGUAAAGGGAGCGUAGACGGAUAGGCAAGUCUGGAGUGAAAACCCGGGGCUCAACCCCGGGACUGCUUUGGAAACUGUUUAUCUAGAGUGCUGGAGAGGUAAGUGGAAUUCCUAGUGUAGCGGUGAAAUGCGUAGAUAUUAGGAGGAACACCAGUGGCGAAGGCGGCUUACUGGACAGUAACUGACGUUGAGGCUCGAAAGCGUGGGGAGCAAACAGGAUUAGAUACCCUGGUAGUCCACGCCGUANACGAUGACUGCUAGGUGUCGGGUGGCAAAGCCAUUCGGUGCCGCAGCUAACGCAAUAAGCAGUCCACCUGGGGAGU
rnacentral:rRNA from 1 species